rnacentral:tRNA from 1 species
AGAUAGGUAUUUAAAUUUAUAAUAUUUGGUUUGCAAUCAAAAGUUGGUUUCUCUA